CCAGGAAUCAAACUCACGACCUUGCGCUGGCUGGGCAGGCGCUGUGCCACUGAGCUCAAUUCCCAGCCCCUUAAUCAUCUGAUUUUAUUAGUGUAUGUUGGCAGUUCAUGAUGUUUACAUUCAUUUUAGAGAGUGGCCCCCGGAUUUGUUGGGAAGAGUGAGGGGAGUGGGCCUGAGCAGUCAGUUAGAGUCCUGAGGCUGUGACUCCCACUGAAGUCUGGAAGAAGCCAUUCCAGACAGAGGAGACUGCACGUACACUGCAGUGACCAACAUGGCUGCUGUGAUUGAGAAAUUAUACGAAGGUAAAUUUC
rnacentral:lncRNA from 1 species